rnacentral:rRNA from 1 species
GACGAACGCUGGCGGCGUGCUUAACACAUGUAAGUCGAACGGAAAGGCCCUGCUUUUGUGGGGUGCUCGAGUGGCGAACGGGUGAGUAACACGUGAGUAACCUGCCCUUGACUUUGGGAUAACUUCAGGAAACUGGGGCUAAUACCGGAUAGGAGCUCCUGCUGCAUGGUGGGGGUUGGAAAGUUUCGGCGGUUGGGGAUGGACUCGCGGCUUAUCAGCUUGUUGGUGGGGUAGAGGCUUACCAAGGCUUUGACGGGUAGCCGGCCUGAGAGGGUGACCGGCCACAUUGGGACUGAGAUACGGCCCAGACUCCUACGGGAGGCAGCAGUGGGGAAUAUUGCACAAUGGGCGGAAGCCUGAUGCAGCAACGCCGCGUGCGGGAUGACGGCCUUCAGGUUGUAAACCGCUUUCGCCUGUGACGAAGCGUGAGUGACGGUAAUGGGUAAAGAAGCACCGGCUAACUACGUG